rnacentral:rRNA from 1 species
UACAUGUGGGGCAAGCGUUGUUCGGAAUUACUGGGCGUAAAGCGCGCGCAGGCGGCCAUUCAAGCCAGGGGUGAAAGCCCAGAGCUCAACUCUGGAACUGCCCUUGAAACUGUAUGGCUUGAGUAUGAGAGAGGUGAGUGGAAUUCCCAGUGUAGAGGUGAAAUUCGUAGAUAUUGGGAAGAACACCGGUGGCGAAGGCGGCUCACUGGCUCAUUACUGACGCUCAGGCGCGACAGCGUGGGGAUCAAACAGG